AAAUACGUUUUUAUUUUAUUUUCAAUAAAAUCCAACAAUGGUUCUUCGAAUACCGAGUCCAAGUCCUAACCUGACGAAUUAUCUGAAAGGAUGAAAAAAUUAAAAAUUAAAAGGUGAGCUAUGAAGCUCAAUGUGGUCUUAACAUAUAAAGAAAUGAAUAAUAGCAUACAAACAUGCAAUGCAAAGUACAAAUCAAAAUCAUGAUAUCUACAAAAUUCACAGUAUCCAAUGUCAAACUCAUGAAUGACAGUGCAGUCCAUCACCCAAUCCAUCUCUGCACACCAGGGUAAGAGUUCUUCAAAACUCAUCCAGCUUUACACACCAAAAUUUUUGCGAAUGAGCCGCCAGUAUAUCAGUAAAUCAGUAAAUUUGAUUGGUGAACCAAUCUAACUUUUAAAGCCUGAACAUCCUCCUUCAACGACCCAACCCCUAUGCAACAGUAUGACAUACUAUCAGUGACAUGAAACAGUGACAGUAGCAGUAUUAAUUAUGCGACUAUCAUGCGAAUAGUAACAAUUAUUUGUGUAAGCAGUAACAGUAGGCAUGCAUCAAUUGUAUGAGCAGAAAUAUCACUGAAACAUCAUCAUACAUACUCAACAACAUCAUUUCAUAAAAAUGGCAGCAUAGUACGACCAUACUUACGUCACACAAUUGAGUUUUCAACCAAACAAUGCUCACAGUUUUUCAACAACUUAACAAAGGAUGUACCCCUUUCAGAUAUGAUGUUUCUAGUGCAUUCAGAAUCAUGAAUCAAGGUUGUUUAGUAAUCAUAAUAAUAAUAAAAAGCAACUAAACAUGCUCUAAGCACCCACACAUUUGACCUAAGCCCCCCACCCCCACACGGCAUAACACAGUUAGAACACACAACUUCACUCCACACGCCCGUGCGACACUUUCACUAUUUCGGCACACUCUUUUAGUUUAAUUUCGAUCCAGUUCACCUAGAUUUGGUUCUUCAAACGGCAAGCACGCGCAAAUACAUAACAUUAGAAUCGGCAACAUAAGUCUUCGGCAAGAUCCGAAAGAGACCAAUUAAGCAAAACGGGAAGAAGUAAAACGCAACUUAGUUGCGCAUUCGAAAACAGAGUCUAACCAAUCUAAGGGAUCUUGCUUACCAGUCUACAGCAAUUGGAAACGGUACAAUUGUCGACAGACCUACACGUCAAUAGAAUCCGAACAAGCAAGGUGUGAUUCGGCAAGGAGGAAGAAAUACCUAGAGUUUCGGCACACUAAGGUUUUGUACACUAAAAAAUGCGCCAGGUUUUCAUCAUUUAGACAGAUUAAGCCCAAACAGAAGCCCAAUUGCACGCUCAAAUAAAAAAUUAAAAUAAAUUCAACAGUUCGCAAUUUUAAUUUGAAAUUUAA
rnacentral:lncRNA from 1 species